GGUGAUGUUACUUUGAUUUGCCAGCUGUAUUGACUCUCCUCCCAGUUUUUAACUAAAAUUGCCACAUUUUUCAGAGAGAAGGCAGCAAUGCUGAGCUUUGCCUUAAGGCAGCUGUUCCUAGUCAAGAUUUCAUGUUGUUCUGAAGCAGGCAUAGCCCUUUCUUCCCACAAUCCCACCGAGACCUCUGGAAAAACAGAAGACAAAAGGAGGGAAGUUGUUCUAAGGUUCAGUCCUUAAUAGCUAAAUUUAGUAUAGAUUUCGUCCUGGUCACCUCUCUUCCUAUCUGAGAACAGAACUCACAGCCUGUUGAAAUCAGCAGAGGUUCUUUCCUCUGGAUGCAGUGAACUCUGAGAGAAGAUUGUUUGCAUUUUAGUAGAAUUUUACUGCUCAGAAGAUAGUGAACUGGAAUCACCGCUUUCUGGGAGAAGUAUUUUUUUUUUUAAUCCCCUUCAAGACAAUGAUUACACUUUUCUCAGCUUUUACCAGUUCUUAAUGAAAUAUUAAUGUCUUGUGGACUUGAACAUUGCUGUCUCUAAUAACAUUUGUAAUACCUGACAGAAAUUAAUGAGGGUUUAGUUGCAUACAUCUAUAUCUCAGAGAAAAAUGAAAACAAGUCUUUGCUUGUAACACCACAGCCAUGAUAUUUCUCCCUCUCUCCCUCACCUUUUUAAAUUUUUUUGUUAAACUGUGAGUUAUAUUCAGUGGUGUUUAUUGACAUCCCAUUUUCUGCAUUCUAAGCCAUCUAAGCACUUGUGCAGAAAUCAUUACAGCUCUAAUACUUUGGGAGUGUGUAGAGCAACAUAGCCAGAUGACCAGCAUUGCAUCAGGCACUGAAGGGCACACCUAUGCAGUAAAUCCACUCUGAUGUGUAUAAUAAUGCCUUUCAAAAUGAUGACAAGCAUAUUUU
rnacentral:lncRNA from 1 species